GGAUGAACGCUGGCGGCGUGCUUAACCCAUGCAAGUCGUACGGUGAACACGGAGCUUGCUCUGUGGGAUCAGUGGCGAACGGGUGAGUAACACGUGAGCAACCUGCCCCUGACUCUGGGAUAAGCGCUGGAAACGGCGUCUAAUACUGGAUAUGUGACGUGACCGCAUGGUCUGCGUUUGGAAAGAUUUUUCGGUUGGGGAUGGGCUCGCGGCCUAUCAGCUUGUUGGUGAGGUAAUGGCUCACCAAGGCGUCGACGGGUAGCCGGCCUGAGAGGGUGACCGGCCACACUGGGACUGAGACACGGCCCAGACUCCUACGGGAGGCAGCAGUGGGGAAUAUUGCACAAUGGGCGCAAGCCUGAUGCAGCAACGCCGCGUGAGGGAUGACGGCCUUCGGGUUGUAAACCUCUUUUAGCAGGGAAGAAGCGAAAGUGACGGUACCUGCAGAAAAAGCGCCGGCUAACUACGUG
rnacentral:rRNA from 1 species